UACGUAGGGUGCGAGCGUUGUCCGGAAUUAUUGGGCGUAAAGAGCUCGUAGGCGGUCUGUUACGUCUGCUGUGAAAACCCUGGGCUUAACCCUGGGCUUGCAGUGGAUACGGGCAGACUAGAGGCAGGUAGGGGAGAAUGGAAUUCCCGGUGUAGCGGUGAAAUGCGCAGAUAUCGGGAGGAACACCGGUGGCGAAGGCGGUUCUCUGGGCCUGACCUGACGCUGAGGAGCGAAAGCGUGGGGAGCGAACAGG
rnacentral:rRNA from 1 species